rnacentral:rRNA from 1 species
UAGGCAACCUGCCCAGAAGCGGGGGACAACAUUUGAAAACAGAUGCUAAUACCGCAUAACAACGUUGUUCGCAUGAACAACGUUUCAAAGAUGGCCUCUGGCUAUCACUUCUGGAUGGACCUGCGGUGCAUUAGCUUGUUGGUGGGGUAAUGGCCUACCAAGGCGAUGAUGCAUAGCCGAGUUGAGAGACUGAUCGGCCACAAUGGGACUGAGACACGGCCCAUACUCCUACGGGAGGCAGCAGUAGGGAAUCUUCCACAAUGGGCGCAAGCCUGAUGGAGCAACACCGCGUGAGUGAAGAAGGGUUUCGGCUCGUAAAGCUCUGUUGUUAAAGAAGAACAUGCGUGAGAGUAACUGUUCACGCAUUGACGGUAUUUAACCAGAAAGUCACGGCUAACUACGUGCCAGCAGCCGCGGUAAUACGUAGGUGGCAAGCGUUAUCCGGAUUUAUUGGGCGUAAAGAGAGUGCAGGCGGUUUACUAAGUCUGAUGUGAAAGCCUUCGGCUUAACCGGAGAAGGGCAUCGGAAACUGGCUAACUUGAGUGCGGAAGAGGGUAGUGGAACUCCAUGUGUAGCGGUGGAAUGCGUAGAUAUAUGGAAGAACACCAGUGGCGAAGGCGGCUACCUGGUCUGUAACUGACGCUGAGACUCGAAAGCAUGGGUAGCGAACAGGAUUAGAUACCCUGGUAGUCCAUGCCGUAAACGAAGAGUGAGAGGUGUUGGAGGGUUUGCGCCCUUCAAUGCCGGAGAGAAAUGCAUAAAGCAAUCCGUCUGGGGGGUACGACCGCACGGAAGAAAACUCAAAGGAAUUGACGGGGGCCCGCACAAGCGGUGGAGCAAGUGGUUAUAUUAGAAGAUACGCGAAGAACCUCGUCAGGUCUUGACGUCUUGCGCCAACCAUCGUGAUAGGGCGUUUCCUUCUGGAACGCAAUGACAGGUGGUGCAUGGUCGUCGUCAGCUCGUGUCGUGAGAAGAUGGGUUAAGUCCCGCAACGAGCGCAACCCUCGUUAUUAGUUGCCAGCAUUCAGUUGGGCACUCUAGUGAGACUGCCGGUGACAAACCGGAGGAAGGGGGGGAGGACGUCAGAUCAUCAUGCCCCCUAUGACCUGGGCUACACACGUGCUACACUGGACGGGACAACGAGUCGCGAACUCGCGAGGGCGCGCACAUCUCUGAAAACCGUUCUCAGUUCGGAGUGCAGGCCGCACCUCGCCCGCACGAAGUCGGAAUCGCUAGUAAUAGCGGAUCAGCAUGCCGCG